UUAAGUUCAGCGGGUAUCCCUACCUGAUCCGAGGUCAAAAGUUGAAAAAAAGGCUUAAUGGAUGCUAGACCUUUGCUGAUAGAGAGUGCGACUUGUGCUGCGCUCCGAAACCAGUAGGCCGGCUGCCAAUUACUUUAAGGCGAGUCUCCAGCAAAGCUAGAGACAAGACGCCCAACACCAAGCAAAGCUUGAGGGUACAAAUGACGCUCGAACAGGCAUGCCCUUUGGAAUACCAAAGGGCGCAAUGUGCGUUCAAAGAUUCGAUGAUUCACUGAAUUCUGCAAUUCACACUACUUAUCGCAUUUCGCUGCGUUCUUCAUCGAUGCCAGAACCAAGAGAUCCGUUGUUGAAAGUUGUAAUUAUUAAUUUGUUACUGACGCUGAUUGCAAUUACAAAAGGUUUAUGUUUGUCCUAGUGGUGGGCGAACCCACCAAGGAAACAAGAAGUACGCAAAAGACAAGGGUGAAUAAUUCAGCAAGGCUGUAACCCCGAGAGGUUCCAGCCCGCCUUCAUAUUUGUGUAAUGAUCCCUCCGCAGGUUCACCUACGGAGACCUUGUUACGACUU
rnacentral:misc_RNA from 1 species